rnacentral:rRNA from 1 species
UGAGGAAUAUUGCCCAAUGGGGGAAACCCUGAGGCAGCAACGCCGCGUGAACGAAGACGGCCUUCGGGUUGUAAAGUUCUUUUCUGGGGGACGAUAAUGACGGUACCCCAGGAAUAAGUUCCGGCUAACUACGUGCCAGCAGCCGCGGUAAAACGUAGGGGACAAGCGUUAUCCGGAUUUACUGGGCGUAAAGCGCACGUAGGCGGUAGGGUAAGUUGGCCGUGAAAGCUCCCGGCUUAACUGGGAGAGGUCGGACAAAACUGCCGGACUUGAGGCUGAGAGAGGAGAGCGGAAUUCCCGGUGUAGUGGUGGAAUGCGUAGAUAUCGGGAGGAACACCAGUGGCGAAGGCGGCUCUCUGGCUCAGAACUGACGCUGAGGUGCGAAAGCGUGGGGAGCGAACGG